UUAUACAGCCAUAUUUAGGCAGCCCAAGACCGGUUACUCACUGAAGCUAAGCAGGGCUGAGCCUGGUCAGAACCUGGAUGGGAGACCACAUGAGAAAAACUAGGUUGCUGUUGGAG
rnacentral:rRNA from 1 species